GCCCGUCCGCGCCUGCGGGGCAGCGGGGCGAGGCGCUGCCGGAGCGGAGCGGGGCAGCAGUGCCUCUCGGGGCGUCCCCGGGGCGCGUCCCGACCCGACCGCCGCUGCCCGCCGCGCCGAGCCGAGCUGUGCCGCCCCGGUGCCGCCGCCCUCGUCGGGGCGGGGAGGCGGGUCCCGCCGCGAUGCGGCUGCCCGUGCGCCGCCGCUGUCGCCCGCCCGCCACCGCCUCCUGAGCGCCGCCGCAGCCAUGGAGCGGAGGGCGGAGGCGCCGCCGCCGCCGCAGGGCCUCGACUUCACCGUGGAGAACGUGGAGAAGGCUCUCCAUCAGCUGUAUUAUGACCCAAACAUCGAGAACAAGAACUUGGCUCAGAAAUGGCUGAUGCAGGCACAGGUGUCCCCCCAGGCAUGGCACUUCAGCUGGCUGCUGCUCAACAUGGACAAAGUGCCUGAGAUCCAGUACUUUGGCGCCAGCGCUCUCCACAUUAAAAUCUCCCGUUACUGGAACGACAUCCCAGCCGACCAGUAUGAGAGCCUCAAGUCACAGCUCUUCACCCACAUCACCCGUUUCGCCAGUGGCUCCAAGAUCGUGCUGACCCGCCUCUGCGUGGCGCUGGCCUCCCUGGCCCUCAGCAUGAUGCCGGAGGCUUGGCCCUGCGCCGUGGCAGACAUGGUGCGCAUGUUCCAGGCAGAGGACUCCAACGUGGACGGGCGAGCGCGGUGCCUGGCGCUGCUGGAGCUGCUGACGGUGUUGCCGGAGGAGUUUCAGACCAGCCGCCUGCCACAGUACCGCAAGGGCCAGGUCCGCAGUGUCCUGGCGCAGGAGUGCGGCUCCGUCUUCCCUUUGCUGGAGCAGCUGCUGCAGCAGCAGGACUCCCCGGGUUUCAUCAAGCAGAAGGUGUUGAAGUGCUUCUCCAGCUGGGUGCAGCUGGAGAUCCCGCUGAUGGACUGUGAGAACCUGAUCCAGGCAGCUUUCACCUCUCUGCAGGACCCAGAGCUCUUCGACACAGCGGUGGAGGCUGUCGUCAAUGCCAUUUCCCAGCCCGAUGCACAGAGGUACGUGAACACCCUCCUGAAGCUCAUCCCCUCUGUGUUGGGGCUCCAAGAGCAGCUGCGCCAGGCGGUCCAGAGCGGGGACAUGGAGACGUCACACGGGAUCUGCCGGAUUGCUGUGGCCUUGGGGGAGAAUCACUCCCGGGCCCUUCUUGACCAGGUGGAGCACUGGCAGAGCUUCCUGGCCCUGGUCAACAUGAUCAUGUUCUGCACCGGCAUCCCCGGGCACUACCCUGUCAAUGAAACCACCAGCUCCUUGACGCUCACCUUCUGGUACACACUGCAGGACGACAUCCUCUCCUUCGAGCCGGACAAGCAGGCAGUGUACCAGCAGGUCUACAGGCCUGUCUACUUCCAGCUGGUGGACGUGCUGCUGCACAAAGCCCAGUUCCCCUCCGAUGAGGAGUAUGGCUUCUGGUCUUCAGAUGAGAAGGAGCAAUUUCGGAUAUACAGGGUGGACAUCUCUGACACGCUGAUGUACGUGUAUGAGAUGCUGGGCGCAGAGCUCCUGAGCAGCCUCUAUGACAAACUGGGACGUCUCCUGACCAACACGGAACAGCCAUCCACAUGGCAGCACACGGAGGCCUUGCUCUACGGCUUCCAGUCCAUCGCUGAGACCAUCGACGUGAACUACUCUGAUGUGGUGCCAGGGCUGAUCGGCCUCAUUCCCCGGAUCAGCAUCAGCAACGUGCAGCUUGCCGACACCGUGAUGUUCACUAUUGGGGCCCUGUCAGAGUGGCUGGCUGAUCACCCCGUCAUGAUUAACAACGUGCUGCCGCUGGUGCUCCAAGCCUUGGGCAACCCUGAGCUCUCCAUCUCCAGUGUCUCCACACUGAAGAAGAUCUGCCGGGAGUGCAAGUACGACUUGCCACCCUAUGCUGCCAACAUCGUUGCCGUAUCACAGGAAGUGUUGAUGAAGCAGAUUCACAAGACGAGCCAGUGCAUGUGGCUGAUGCAGGCUCUUGGUUUCCUGCUCUCUGCGCUGCAAGUGGAGGAGAUCCUGAAAAACCUGCACUCCCUGAUCACCCCCUACAUCCAGCAGCUGGAAAAGCUGGCUGAUGAAACGCCCAAUCCCUCCAACAAGCUGGCCAUCAUCCACAUCCUGGGCUUGCUCUCCAACCUCUUCACCACCCUAGACAUCAGCCACCAUGAUGAUGACCACGAAAGCACUGAGGUCAAGAAACUGCCAGUGCAGCAAGGACCCAACCCAGUGGUGGUGGUUCUGCAGCAAGUCUUCCAGCUCAUACAGAAGGUCCUCAGCAAGUGGCUGAAUGAUGCCCAAGUGGUGGAGUCUGUCUGUGCCAUCUUUGAGAAAUCUGUGAAGACCCUCCUGGAUGAUUUUGCCCCCAUGGUGCCUCAGCUGUGCGAGAUGCUGGGGCAGAUGUACAGCACCAUUCCCCAGGCCUCUGCCAUCGACCUCACCCGGCAGCUGGUUCACAUUUUUGCCCAUGAGCCUGCCCACUUCCCUCCUAUCAAGGCCCUCUUCCUGCUCGUUACCUCAGUCACGCUGACCCUCUUCCAGCAAGGGCCCAGGGAUCAUCCUGAUAUUGUUGAUUCAUUUAUGCAACUCCUGGCACAGUUGAAUAUCGAGUUUCUCCAUCUGUUUCCGUGGAAGUUGAAAACAAAACAUUCUCCUUUAGUUCUGGGUUUGCACCAUCCCCAGGGCAGUGCCCACCUCUGCAGGGCAGCCUCCAGCUGCCACCCCCUUGCCAUGCCGAAGCUGCUGCAGGGCACUUGGCGCUGCUGCCACAGUCACCCUCGCGUGACAAACUAGAGCAUUAAGUGGAUGUUUUCUGACCCAUUUACCUGCCCUGUGACGAGUCCUCUGGAGCAGGGAUGGGCUGAGCUGGCUGCCUUGCUCCGGGGCCAGUGGGAGGAAGCCGGUGCCCAUGGUAGCAAGCAGCUGCUGGGGUUUGGCUCUGAGAAUGUGCUUGUGGCGGUGUGUGGACCUGCCAUGGUGCCACGCUGCCGCCCGCUCCAACAGCCUCCGGGGGUGGUGGCAGCUCCUGCAGCCCAGGAGCAUUCCUGUGCCGCCGGCUCGGUGCUGUGCGGGGAUGGUUUGCGUUGGCACGGCGGGGACUGCGGGCUGGCUGGUUGGUCUGGCAUUGGUGUCACCGCUGGCGGUGGGCAGGCAGUGCCGUGUGUGUAUAUACACUUGUUGGGAGCAGGGGGAGCGCAGCAUGCUCCUCAGCCCAUGAGGGAGAAGCCCUGAUGUCCUUGAUGCUCAGUGCCCCUGUUGGAGACGUGUCCCCCAGCACCUACCCAGAGGGUGCGUCAGUGGCGAGGAGGGGCCUGGCAGAGUUGCUUUCUGCUUCGCUUUUGUAAUGGUGAGACUUCUGACCAUGCGUGCUGCAGUGGCUGUGCAGGAGCACCCAGCCGGGCACUGCCAGAGCUGUGGCCAUCCUGCCCUUGCUGGCAGCCCAGGAAGAGUGCCUGGCAUGGCCGGGUGCUGAGCCCUCAGCCCCCUCCCACAGCUGCUCAGCCCACAUGUGGGUCUUGCGGGACGGAGCAGGCAGGGGGGUUGCACCUCAGCCCCCCAGGCACGGAGUGUUACUUGUGGGUCUCACCUUGAUGCCCAGACCCUGCUGAGGCCCAUUGCAUCUCACAAGACAUUGUAGCAUUUUCCUCCUUGCUUUUCAUCCUGAAAGGAAUAACAUAAUCAAGGUUAUCAGAAAGCAUUCACAGCUUUUGCCAGUGCUGGUUUUGGAGGCUGUGACCAUUUAACAGGGGUUUUGAACAUGAUGGGAGGAUCGGUGAAUGGGGUCUGUGCUUGAGGUUCCUGGAGGUGUCCUUCCCAGCCACUCAGUGCUGGGGAGACCUCUUCUUAAGCACUGUGCCCAGGUUGGGGCUCAUUUCUGUAGAUAUAGACCAGAGAGCACAGAGAAAAGCAUCUGGGAACGUGACCACUGUUAGGGAAUAAACUGCCUUAGCCUGGGUCUCUGCUACAGGACACCUAGGGAGAAGGAACUUCCCUAGCACCACCUUGUAGACAUGGAGAGGAGGAAGGGCUGAUAGGAGCCUGAGGAGCUGCAUGUCUUAGAGUAUGUAAAAGGUAAUGUCCCAGUCAUAGGUGAAAACCCCUUUUCUGCUCUUCUUGAGUGGGACAAACAGUAACGGGAGAAAAUCAUGGAAAAGGAUGCAUGUCAGGCAGCAGGAGAUCCUUCUAAGAGUGUGGGAAAGCACUGGAAGGUCACUUGGGAAGCUGCUGUCACUUGGAGGGCUUGAAAGGACUCAAGAAGCCUGUUGUUCUUGGAGGGCAGGUAGAGGUGAUUCUGCUGUGGAGCAGGGCAUUAGGUGACCCUGAGAGACUCUUCCAAGGCUAUUUUAUUGUUUCUUUGGAAAGUGCUGUGUUUCUCUCUGGCUCGGGUUCCUUCUCUGUGUCUGGACAUGGCACAUUUGUGCUUUCUUGAAGAGAAAGGUGCGACAACCAUGCUGUACUUCCACGGGGUGUGCUGCGAGAGCAACCACCACCCAUCCCGGCUGCUGGAAGCGGUUACACGCUGCCCUCACGGGCAGGAUCUGCAGGCAGUGCAGGGGCAGCGUACAGGCAGUUGGCCCGGUCUCCAGCGUACAGAUCUCCGGACAGCCUGCAUCCUUCAGAGGCCCUGCUGCAGGAACAGCUCAGAGGCUCCUGCCUACAUGGCUGCUCCAUCUUGAAUCACUGCAAGACAUCUGACUUCAUGCUUCCAGCCCACCACCACUCAAGACCUGAUGGUUUCCUGGGCUUUUUAUUCCAGCAACCCCAUGGAGACCAAAGGAUCCCAUCCACAUCCUCUCUCCUCAUGUGCAGGACUUGUUUCAAGGUUUCCUUGACUUCCUUGGCUGCCUCUCUUCCCAGACUGAUGGUCUGGUGGGGUGCUUUGAAACCCAUCAAGAAAUGGCCUUGCCGUUCCUGCUUGCCUCCUUGCUCUCAGGACUUCAAGAGCUGUCUAAAGGCAGAGGUAGGUCCAGCCUGCCCUCUUCCAGAAGACCACGCUCUGCAGUGAUGCUCUUGAGCAUCUGUAAUCCAAGGAUUAAAGUUGGAGAGAAGCGUGGAUCUCUUCAGAUCCAGUUUACAUGUGGGGGAGGCUGUGUUUUCAUGCUAGUCUGCUUCACCUGCAGACCCGUUGACAAAGUAACGCAUCUUCCAGAGCAGCAGCAAGUUUGGACCCAAGAGUGUGUCAGGGUAGAGACUUUCUAAUUUUCCUGAUCAUCUGCUCUUGUGGUUGAUCACCUUGCUGGAAAUAUCAUCUUCCCUGUUUCAAAUUUGUCUACCAGCAAGUAUUCUCCUACCUUCUGAUAACUCAGAAGAAGCUUCUACCUCCUGAAACCUGCACAUCAGCCCUCUGUCACAGGGAGCCAUCUCUGCAUGGCAGGACUUCAGUAACUUUACAGUAUAUUUAUUUGCGCUUGAUUGCAGCCCAUGGGAUGGCCCUGUUGGUGCAGCUGAUCAUCCUGCCACCACGUUAAUUGGCAAUCCACUCUUGAUGGUGGUCGACUGAUCAUGAGAGCAUGCUGGCUUAAACCAAAUGUCUUACAGAUGCUAGAGACCCUGGAGUAGUUGUUACUACUCAAAGCGAAGUAUAAAAUAACCACUCUGCCGCGGCAGCUGGGGCUUCUACCCAGGUCUGCGUCUGCAAACCCAGGCAGGACUUCCUGGUGCUUGGGAGCUCUCGCCAGCUCCCUGGCCGGUGGGUAUCACCCGUGUGCGUGCUCCCAGUUGCAGGUAGGCUUUCGGGGCUCUCCAACCUGUCUCUCCAGCAGCAGUUGCAGGCACAUCCACUCAUCCCUCAGGGCUCCAUGCCAUAGUGGACUUCGGGAGUGCUGCAGUGACCUCCCCUGACAGAGAGCCAAGGUGCAAGCUGGGCAAGUGGGGCGAUGCCAGCCAGAAGACACAGGACUGUCCUUUAUGAUGGCCCAGCAGAGGAUGUGGGGGAGGGAUGUUUGAAAGCAUAUAAAGACCUGUCCUCAUUCCAGAAGAUGUGAGCAGAGCUGUUCUGGCAAGAGACAGGGAGGACAGGCUGAUAGUAAGAGGCUCCAGAGCUGGAGCAGAGUUCCUGGUCCUGGGAAAGAGCAGCUGGCCCUACCUGAUGUCACUUGCUAGUGGGGUAAGCUCCACAGGGCCCCAUCUCACAGGGACAGAAAGCAUCUGUCUACAUUAGGUGUGUGCAUGUGUGGCCAGAUUGAGCUUGUGCUCUGCACGCCCUUGGUAGAGGUGUCCUACAGGAAGCAGCCCUCCUAAUAUUGGCACACUUUCCACCACUGGUGGAGUGAGAAGCAGAUGCUGCAGCGAGCCUGUAGGAGAGCGUGGGGGGCUCUGCCUGUCACAGGUCUGGGUUGGUGGGGAGAAGCAUCCUGCAGGUAGGUGUCAACCUGAGCGUGUUGGAAGACUCUUGUUCCAGCUGAACAAUCUUGCAGCGUGCAGAACUCGGGUUAAAACAAGCCCCUUGGACAGGCAGGGCAGAGGAACCUGCAGCUGGGUGGUAUGACGGGAGCCAGCUGCCCAGGAGCAGCAUCCUGCUGGGGGAGAGGCUCGUGGUCACCUCUCUGGAGCCCCCACCAGGGCCCCAGUGCGGGUACUCUCCUGUGGCUAAAACCGCAACAUCUCUUGCAAGCGUUUGUCCAGUAUGAGGCCAACUAGAUGGCAGCAGCCAUGAGCGGAUGUGUUUCUAAACCAUUGCCCAGCUCCUAGCUUGCCUUCUGAUGUUGGUGUUAGUGCAUCAGGAGGGGGUGCACGUGGUCUGUAUGUACACACACGGGUAGAAUGUGGCCCCUGGUCACCCCUGUGAUGGUCUCUGCUUGUGUCUAGCAGGGAAGCAGGUCCCUGCAAUUGUGCCACCUCUGCCUGGUACAGCAAUGCCUUUGGUGCCCAAACCUGACUCCUCCCUUGAAUGUGAUACAAAGGGUCGGAAAGGAGAUGGAAGUAACCAUGAAACAUUGCUUCUUGGCUUUUUGGUCUCCAGCAUACGUUCUCUGCACUGGGCAGAUGGUCGUGGGCUCUCCCUGGAGAAGAAGGAGUGGGAAAUAAGUCUGUUUUGGUGCAAGUAGAGACCAUGGCUGUGGGAGCUGGCCAUGUGUUGGGGGCACUACUGGCUGAAAGCUGUCCCUGCUUUCACUGUGGAAGCAGGCUUGGAGGGAGGCAGUGGCCCAGCACACAGCCUGAGGGCUGCCUGCCUUGGGAUGCUGCUCUCCGAGCUCCAGGCACAGAGUGGGGCCACUCCAGUGCUGUGGCUGCUGUCCCCUGUGUCACAGUGACAGCAGGGCAGAAGGCAUGGCCACCAUGCCUAGUGCUGGCCCAUAGCAGUGGGCAUGGUGAUCAGGGCAUGGAUGUGGCCACCUUAUAUAGCAGGGCUCGCUGUGACAGUGCAGAAACCCUUCCUGUGGAGUGAAAAGUACAGGCUGGAACAUCUCCACCCAGUAACUGCCAAGUGCCGGCACAAGAAGGGACUGAACCAUUGCACAGGGUGCCACAGCUCUGGGUGUUCCCAGCGGCACUGCCUGAACCCUGCAGUGGCUGGUGGGAUCGCUGUGUGGCGGAAAACCCCCAAGCUUUUCUGAUCUCAUACUGGUUGCUCAGGAGUUGUCAAGCAAUGUUGGCAUCUCAUUGUCUUCUCUGCCCUGGAGCCCAAGCAGAGCAAGCUGCUGGUCUAGUCUGGGGUUACUGCUGGAACCAGUUGCUGUGACCUCAGGGACACCAGCAUCUUUGAGAGGAGCGAAGCACAGAGGUGCUUGGUCUCUGAUGGGCUCUACAUGGCUGCCCUUGUCCCUGAGCGCUGCCACCUCCUGGCCUGCUCUGGUGAGACAGGAGCCCUCUGUCCUAUCUGUAUGUCCGAAUUGUCUGUGUGUGCAUCACCUGGCAUCUGUCCUCAGGUCCUGGGGUCGAUGGUUCCCGAGUCUAGCAAACUGCCUGGCUGUUUGAUUGGCGUUUUCCUGGGGGGGUGGAAAGCGAUGGUUUCCUGCUGUACUGUGUGAAUCUGCUGUUUACUGCGGGUGUGCCCAGGCUCUGAAAAGGAAGCCGGACCUCUUCCUGUGUAGCAACCUGGAUGUCAAAGCAGUGUUUCAGUGUGGUGUCCUUUCGCUCAAGUUCCCUGAGGCCCCAACUGUCAAAGCAUCCUGUGGCUUUUUU